rnacentral:rRNA from 1 species
UACGUAGGGUGCAAGCGUUGCCCGGAAUUAUUGGGCGUAAAGAGCUCGUAGGCGGUUCGUCGCGUCGGCUGUGAAAACCCGGAGCUCAACUCCGGGCCUGCAGUCGAUACGGGCGGACUCGAGUUCGGCAGGGGAGACUGGAAUUCCUGGUGUAGCGGUGAAAUGCGCAGAUAUCAGGAGGAACACCGGUGGCGAAGGCGGGUCUCUGGGCCGUUACUGACGCUGAGGAGCGAAAGCGUGGGGAGCGAACAGG